rnacentral:lncRNA from 1 species
GAAAAUAAAAAUCAACCUUGAAUUGAUUUCUGAUCUUUCGGUAUUGAACUCACUGUUUUUGCUAUGAAAUCCACUGUCUUUUUUAUUGAUUUUUUCUACCCCUAUUACAGUGCAUUAAUGGCUUUUUUAUAGCCGAACGAAACAAAUCUAAAGAAGAAACAAAUCUGUUUCUUUAUUUGAUUUUCGAAUCUUUGAUUGUGUUUCCUUUUUUGUUUUUUUCUU